rnacentral:rRNA from 1 species
UAAGGUGAUUAUAGCGAUGGGGCUCACCUCUUACCAUUCCGAACAGAGAAGUUAAGCCCAUUAGCGCCGAUGGUACUGCAUUUGUGGGAGAGUAGGUCGUUGCCUUUU